GACGAACGCUGGCGGCGUGCUUAACACAUGCAAGUCGAACGGGCCUGUCUUCUUUUUUGGGGGGUGGGUUGAGUGGCGAACGGGUGAGUAUCACGUGAGUAACCUGCCCUUCGGUCCUGGAUAACCGCUUGAAAGGGCGGCUAAUACGGGGUGGUCCGGUUGGUCCGCAUGGGCUGGUCGGGAUAGAUUCACUGUUUUUGGUGUUUCGGCGGGGGAUGGGCUCGCGGCCUAUCAGCUUGUUGGUGGGGUGAUGGCCUACCAGGGCGGUGACGGGUAGCCGGCCUAAGGGGGAGGGAGGCCACACUGGAAGUGGGAUCCGGCCCAGACGCAUGCGGGGGGCAGCCGUGGGGGGUAUUGCACGAGGGGCGGAAGCCUGAUGCAGCGACGUCGCGUGAGAGAUGGAGGCCUUCGGGUUGUGAACCUCUGUUUCCGGUGGUGAAGGCCCUGUCCGUGUGGUGGGGUUGACGGUAGCCGGGGAUGAAGCGACGGCUAACUACGUG
rnacentral:rRNA from 1 species